rnacentral:rRNA from 1 species
GCAGGCCUAACACAUGCAAGUCGAACGGUAACAGGAAGCAGCUUGCUGCUUUGCUGACGAGUGGCGGACGGGUGAGUAAUGUCUGGGAAACUGCCUGAUGGAGGGGGGAUAACUACUGGAAACGGUAGCUAAUACCGCAUAACGUCGCAAGACCAAAGAGGGGGACCUUCGGGCCUCUUGCCAUCGGAUGUGCCCAGAUGGGAUUAGCUAGUAGGUGGGGUAACGGCUCACCUAGGCGACGAUCCCUAGCUGGUCUGAGAGGAUGACCAGCCACACUGGAACUGAGACACGGUCCAGACUCCUACGGGAGGCAGCAGUGGCGAAUAUUGCACAAUGGGCGCAAGCCUGAUGCAGCCAUGCCGCGUGUAUGAAGAAGGCCUUCGGGUUGUAAAGUACUUUCAGCGGGGAGGAAGGCGAUAAGGUUAAUAACCUUGUCGAUUGACGUUACCCGCAGAAGAAGCACCGGCUAACUCCGUGCCAGCAGCCGCGGUAAUACGGAGGGUGCAAGCGUUAAUCGGAAUUACUGGGCGUAAAGCGCACGCAGGCGGUCUGUCAAGUCGGAUGUGAAAUCCCCGGGCUCAACCUGGGAACUGCAUUCGAAACUGGCAGGCUAGAGUCUUGUAGAGGGGGGUAGAAUUCCAGGUGUAGCGGUGAAAUGCGUAGAGAUCUGGAGGAAUACCGGUGGCGAAGGCGGCCCCCUGGACAAAGACUGACGCUCAGGUGCGAAAGCGUGG